rnacentral:rRNA from 1 species
AGAGUGCGUAAUAGCUCACUGGUCGAGUGAUCCUGCGCCGAAGAUUUCCGGGGCUAAAACUUACUACCGAAGCUACGGCAUCAGUAAUGAUGGGUAGGGGAGCUUCCCAUACGGGUUGAAGCAUGACCGUAAGGACAUGUGGACAGUAUGGGAGUGAGAAUGUUGGCAUGAGUAGCGAGAUGUGGGUGAGAAUCCCACAGGCCGUAAACCCAAGGUUUCCAGGGGAAGGUUCGUCCGCCCUGGGUUAGUCGGGACCUAAGCUGAGGCCGAAAGGCGUAGGUGAUGGACAACAGGUUGAUAUUCCUGUACUACCGAUAACCGUUUGAGAGAAGGGAUGACACAGUAGGAUAAGCUAAGCACACUGUUGGUUAUGUGUGCCCAAGCAUUGAGGCAGUCAAAGUAGGCAAAUCCGCUUUGAUAAUGCUGGGAUGUGAUGGGGAGCGAAAUUUAGUAGCGAAGUAGCUGAUUUCACACUGUCAAGAAAAGUCUCUAUCGAGGUUAAAGGUACCCGUACCGCAAACCGACACAGGUGGGUGAGGAGAGUAUCCUAAGGCCAGCGAGAGAACUGUUGUUAAGGAACUCGGCAAAAUGACCCCGUAACUUAGGGAUAAGGGGUGCCACCAUCAGGUGGCCGCAGAGAAUAGGCCCAAGCGACUGUUUACCAAAAACAUAGGUUUCUGCUAAGUCGCAAGACGAUGUAUAGGAGCUGACGCCUGCCCGGUGCUGGAAGGUUAAGGGGAUCUGUUAGAGCAAUCGAAGCAGUGAACUUAAGCCCCAGUAAACGGCGGCCGUAACUAUAACGGUCCUAAGGUAGCGAAAUUCCUUGUCGGGUAAGUUCCGACCCGCACGAAAGGCGUAACGAUUUGGGCACUGUCUCAACAACAGACUCGGUGAAAUUGUAAUUCCGGUGAAGAUGCCGGAUACCUGCGACAGGACGGAAAGACCCCAUGGAGCUUUACUGUAGCUUGACAUUGGGUCUUGGUACUACAUGUACAGGAUAGGUGGGAGGCUUUGAAACCAGGACGCCAGUUUUGGCGGAGCCAUCCUUGGGAUACCACCCUUGUAGUACUGGGACUCUAACCAUAGGCCAUGAAUCUGGUCUUGGGACACUGUCAGGUGGGCAGUUUGACUGGGGCGGUCGCCUCCCAAAAGGUAACGGAGGCGCUCAAAGGUUCUCUCAGUACGGUCGGAAAUCGUACGUAGAGUGUAAAGGCAAAAGAGAGCUUGAUUGCAAGACAUACAGGUCGAGCAAGGAUGAAAAUCGGACUUAGUGAUCCGGUGGUUCUGCGUGGAAGGGCCAUCGCUCAACGGAUAAAAGCUACCCUGGGGAUAACAGGCUUAUCUCCCCCAAGAGUCCACAUCGACGGGGAGGUUUGGCACCUCGAUGUCGGCUCAUCACAUCCUGGGGCUGUAGUAGGUCCCAAGGGUUGGGCUGUUCGCCCAUUAAAGUGGUACGCGAGCUGGGUUCAGAACGUCGUGAGACAGUUCGGUCCCUAUCCGUCGCAGGCGUAGGAAAUUUGAGAAGACCUGUCCUUAGUACGAGAGGACCGGGAUGGACGUACCUCUGGUGUACCAGUUGUCCUGCCAAGGGCAUGGCUGGGUAGCUAUGUACGGAAUGGAUAAGCGCUGAAAGCAUCUAAGCGCGAAGCCAACUUCAAGAUAAGAUUUCCCACCGCAAGGGUAAGACCCCAGAAAGACUAUCUGGUUGA